UUCUGAUUAAGCUAAAUAAACUAUCUUCACAAUAUUUAUGUAUCUAUAAUGCAAACAACACUGGAGUGGGAGCCAGCAUCUUGUUGAAUGUUGCUGUAUUUUGCUAAUUCCUCAGGCUGUGAUGAUAAAAUCUGAAUUGACCAUGAUACUAUAUCAGAGUUUCUCUUGUAACUGGACUUAAAAUGCCUUCACUGGUUCUUUUGGUUGCCAAUGUCUCUUUGUAGCUCAAGGCUCAAGACCUUCCACGAGAUGACCUUCCACUUCAAGUAUCCUCUUCACUACUUAAAACCAGAUGCAUUAUACAGCUGAAUUUGAAAUGUGUCUUAAAGUCUGGAAUCAGGACAGAGACCUGCAUCCCCAGAUGAGGCUUGGUCAGUCCUGUAGUGAAGCUGUAUGAGAUGAAAGCUGCAGGAGCUAUGGCUGCAGGCCACCCAACACACACUCAGUCUUCUGAGUGUAUCAGCUGGAGUUCACGAGGACCAUGCUGGGUUUAGAGGAAUGACAAUGAAAUACCACUGGAAGAGAGGCAGGAUUUUUAUGGAGGAUGUGUGUGAAUAACAGCCACUCCCGAGGCAAACCUAGAAGAGACCUUGCAUAAGCACCUCAUGAAAGCUUUAUUCAGGUGAGAGGAUAAGAGCAGAUCAAGAUCAGGCCAGGGGAUGUAGUGCAAUAAGAGCUCUUUGAGCUUCUCUACUGUGUUUACCUAGGGCCUCCUCCCUCCUGAGGUACCAGGUGAGAACCUGCUUUUUCCCACAUGUGAGCCCUUCAGUUAUUUUGUUGAGGUUUCUUUGUGAAAGAAGUACACAGAAAGUCUCCAAGGCUUGCCACUUUGCUUUUUAUCAGGCAUGUGGCUGACUGCAUUGGUUUGAAGAAAAGUCUGUGCAAUGCUUCUGUACUGUCCCAUUACUUCACCCUUUUGCACAAUUCCUAUGUGUUUUCUCAUGCUCUGGCAAAGGUCCAGGCAAGGAAACUCAUUCAGAGUAGGGACAAGCCUGAACUUGAAUCUAAGGUCAAGAUAAAUAGUCCUGUGGAGCUAUCAGCUCGGUGCUAACUGGUGGUGAAGCAAAUGAAGUGCUAGGAAAGGAUGGAGACCAAACUGGACAGUUGAUGCAUAAACCUUUCAUCUGUGCUUAGAUUGCUGGACUACAUGCUGUUUUUCUCUUCUCUUCUUAUGAGAUGAGCAUCUAGAGAAGGUAAAACAGGUUGAUACAGGGUGUAGAACAAUUUCUGUAUUAGGAAUAAGUCAGAAGCCUGAGAGAAAUAUAAUAGAAAUUUAUAAAUACGAUGCUGUGGAGAAGGAUCAGUUGUGUAAUCUCUCUUUAGUACAAGUACUAGAGGCCACAUGUGAAAUUACUGGGAGCUAAAUGAAAAUAGAUGGAAGGAGCUAGCAAGAGA